rnacentral:rRNA from 1 species
AUGGCCCCUGCGGUACUGAUGAGCGCGGCGGCGACAGCCACCCUGAUAUCGACCUACGCCAACUACAUCACGUUGGGCGCAGGCGCUGGAGCCACCGCCGGCACGAUUGGAUGGACGGCGGUCAGCUAUUUCAGGAAGGUGCCGUGCCCUUCGUGCAUGACGAUGGUCAGGCUCCGUGACUACAUCGAUCAUGCCAAGGGGCACACAUUCCAGUGCCCGUCGUGCCAGGAGCACGUCGCAUUCUCUGAUCUGGAGAGGCACGCCCAGAGGCAUGGCUUUCGUUGCCCGGCUUGCUACGAGGAAGUCCAGCUCGCCGACCUCGGCCCUCACCUGGAUCGCCACAGGCGUGAGAAUGAGGAGAACAGGUUUAAGGAUUUGGAGGAGAGCGCAAGGCAAGGCGAACACUAUCUGGAAAGGGUGCGGGAGCUGAGCCGCGAAUACGAGCAAAGGAUGCUCAAGAUCCAGCGGGCUGAGGCCGACUUCAAUGAAGCUAAGGAGCGGGCCAAAUUGCUGUGGGCUCACUUGAAGGUCAACUGCUAUAUCUGCAAAGCACCGGUCUGCAUUGCUGAAAUCGAGUCUCGCGUUGCUCAGCACAGUCUUGGUUUAAAGACAAGCUCAAUCAGACGAGAUGAGCUGGCCAGCAUCAAAGGGAACACCGGGAUAAAGUCUAAGGACUCAAAGGUCAAAGCCCUGGCCGGAAUGCAUCCCUCCUCGUCUUGA